rnacentral:tRNA from 1 species
CGGGGUAUAGCUCAGUUGUAGAGCAUUCGACAGCAGAUCGAGAGGUCCGUUGUUCAACACCGCGUGCCCCCU